rnacentral:snoRNA from 1 species
UCCACAUGAUGAGGACAGGUGGCCACGUACUCCUGCAGACGCUCCCAUGCUUAAGGAAUAGACUCAUCUCUUGUCUGCUGGAAACUUGAAAUCCUUCCACGGAGGGC